rnacentral:lncRNA from 1 species
UGGCCCAGCCCAGCGGGGCCCCCAACCCGAAUAGGAGAAGGGGAGGGCGGCAUGGGGGCCCCUCCUGUGGACCCCACCCAGCAGACCCCUUCCUGCAGGCCGUGCGGUUGCCGCCAUCCUGGGCCUGGGCCUGGUGCUGGGGCUGCUGGGCCCCCUGGCCAUCCUGCUGGCCCUGUACCUGCUCCGGAGGGACCAGAGGCUGCCCCCCGAUGCCCACAAGCCCCCUGGUGAGUGCCUCAUGGCCCUGCCGCACUGCUCCUGGCGGGUGAGGCCCACCCACCAAUCUCUCCUUUUUUCCUCCCCAGGGGGAGGCAGUUUCCGGACCCCCAUCCAAGAGGAGCAGGCCGACGCCCACUCCACCCUGGCCAAGAUCU